rnacentral:ncRNA from 2 species
AAAUGUCUUCAGGGCAGGGUGCAAUUCCCGACCGGCGGUAUAGUCCGCUAGCGCUUUGGCGCAUGAUUUGGUGCAAUUCCAAAACCGACCGUAUAGUCUGGAUGGAAGAAGGCAAUC